rnacentral:rRNA from 1 species
CGACGUGCGCUGGCGGCGUGCCUGGACUUGCGGUCGAGCGAAUCUGAUGGGAGCUUGCUCCCUGAUGAUUAGCGGCGGACGGGUGAAUAACACGUGGGGAACCUGCCUGUAAGACUGGGAUAACUCCGGGAAACCGGGGCUAAUACCGGAUAACUUUUUUCUUCGCAUGAAGAAGAAUUGAAAGAUGGCUCCGGCUAUCACUUACAGAUGGACCCGCGGCGCAUUAGCUAGUUGGUGAGGUAACGGCUCACCAAGGCGACGAUGCGUAGCCGACUUGAGAGGGUGAUCGGCCACACUGGGACUGAGACACGGCCCAAACUCCUACGGGAGGCAGCAGUAGGGAAUCUUCCGCAAUGGACGAAAGUCUGACGGAGCAACGCCGCGUGAGUGAUGAAGGUUUUCGGAUCGUAAAACUCUGUUGUUAGGGAAGAACAAGUAUCGUUCGAAUAGGGCGGUACCUUGACGGUACCUAACCAAAAGCCGCGGUAAUACGUGCCACACCCGCGGUAAUACUAGGUGGGAGCGUUUCCGAAUUAUUUGGGCUGAAAGGGGGCGGGAGCGGUUUCUUAAUUUGAUUUGAAAACUUGGGGCGCAACCCCAGGGGGCGUGGGGAAUGGGGGAACUUGGAGGCAAAAGGGGAAAGCGAAAUCCCCCGUAGGCCGGGUAAUUGCCGGGGGGGGGGGAGGGGGCACUUG